GAUGAACGCUGGCGGCGUGCUUAACACAUGCAAGUCGAACGAUGAAGCCCAGCUUGCUGGGUGGAUUAGUGGCGAACGGGUGAGUAACACGUGAGUAACCUGCCCUUGACUCUGGGAUAAGCCCGGGAAACUGGGUCUAAUACCGGAUAGGAGCGCCUGUCGCAUGACGGGUGCUGGAAAGAUUUUUCGGUCAUGGAUGGACUCGCGGCCUAUCAGCUUGUUGGUGAGGUAAUGGCUCACCAAGGCGACGACGGGUAGCCGGCCUGAGAGGGUGACCGGCCACACUGGGACUGAGACACGGCCCAGACUCCUACGGGAGGCAGCAGUGGGGAAUAUUGCACAAUGGGCGGAAGCCUGAUGCAGCGACGCCGCGUGAGGGAUGACGGCCUUUCGGGUUGUAAACCUCUUUUCAGUAAGGGAAAGAAA
rnacentral:rRNA from 1 species